UCUCCGUAGGUGAACCAGCGGAGGGAUCAUUAAAGAGUUUUCACAACUCCCAACCCUUGCGAACCGUACCCAUUCUGUUCUCGUUGCUUCCGGCGGGGGCGACGGGGGGGCCCGAAACGGCCUCCCCGCCCCGCCCCCCGGGGGCGGCGGGCCGUACGACCCCUUAUAUCUCAACCACCAGAAACCGUCUGAGAAAACAAAUCAAAUAACCAAAACUUUCAACAACGGAUCUCUUCGCCCCUGCAUCGUAGAAGAACGGCGUAGAUCGGCAGAGAACAC
rnacentral:misc_RNA from 1 species